rnacentral:lncRNA from 1 species
CUGCCAUGGAAAAUACUUGACACUCGUAAUAUGGCACUAAAAUGUGCACUGAACGAUCGACAUGUUUCUCCCAUUCGCAUUUUUCGCGUAUGUGUUUUUCUAAACGCGUUAACGACGCGAGCGAGCAAAACCGAAAUCAGCCGCAAGCUGC